rnacentral:rRNA from 1 species
UGGGGAAUAUUGGACAAUGGGGGCAACCCUGAUCCAGCCAUGCCGCGUGUGUGAAGAAGGCUUUCGGGUUGUAAAGCACUUUCAGUGAGGAGGAAAACUCUGCGACUAAUACUCGUAGGGCUUGACGUUACUCACAGAAGAAGCACCGGCUAACUCCGUGCCAGCAGCCGCGGUAAUACGGAGGGUGCAAGCGUUAAUCGGAAUUACUGGGCGUAAAGCGCGCGUAGGUGGUUUGAUAAGCGAGAUGUGAAAGCCCCGGGCUUAACCUGGGAACGGCAUUUCGAACUGUCAGGCUAGAGUAUGGUAGAGGAGUGUGGAAUUUCCUGUGUAGCGGUGAAAUGCGUAGAUAUAGGAAGGAACACCAGUGGCGAAGGCGGCACUCUGGACCAAUACUGACACUGAGGUGCGAAAGCGUGGGGAGCAAACA